rnacentral:rRNA from 1 species
GAUGAACGCUGGCGGCGUGCCUAAUACAUGCAAGUAGAACGCUGAAGGAAGGAGCUUGCUCUUUCCGGAUGAGUUGCGAACGGGUGAGUAACGCGUAGGUAACCUGCCUGGUAGCGGGGGAUAACUAUUGGAAACGAUAGCUAAUACCGCAUAACAGUAUAUGUUGCAUGAUAUCUACUUAAAAGGUGCAAUUGCACCACUACCAGAUGGACCUGCGUUGUAUUAGCUAGUUGGUGAGGUAACGGCUCACCAAGGCGACGAUACAUAGCCGACCUGAGAGGGUGAUCGGCCACACUGGGACUGAGACACGGCCCAGACUCCUACGGGAGGCAGCAGUAGGGAAUCGUCGGCAAUGGACGGAAGACUGACCGAGCAACGCCGCGUGAGUGAAGAAGGUUUUCGGAUCGUAAAGCUCUGUUGUAAGAGAAGAACGAGUGUGAGAGUGGAAAGUUCACACUGUGACGGUAUCUUACCAGAAAGGGACGGCUAACUACGUG